rnacentral:rRNA from 1 species
AUGGCCAAGAUCCGAGAGAGGAAGCCGAGGGAUGUUGACCAAGUCAAAUGCAUCAAGGAUGGAGUAGAUCAACUCCUGGUGAAGGACGAGGAGAUUAAGCAUAGAUGGCGGGAGUACUUCAAUGGAGAGAAUGAGAGCUCUACCAUUGAACCGGACGACUCCUUUGAUGAUACUCGCAGGCGUUUUGUGCAGCGAAUCCAGGAGUCUGAGGUCAGGGAGGCUUUAAAAAGGAUGAAAGAAGGCAAGGCGAUGGGCCCUAAUUGUAUCCCCAUUGAGGUGUGGAGAGGCCUCGAAGACAGCAAUAAUAUGGCUAAGCUUUUCAACCUCAUUUUUCGGGCUAACAAGAUUCCACAGGAAUGGAGGCGGAGUAUAUUAGUACCAACCUUCAAGAACAAGGGGGAUGUUCAAAGUUGUACUAAUUACCGUUGA